CCUAUAAAAUGAACUUUUCUAUUGGAUGUCGUAUAUUGGACAACGACAGUAUGAAUUAUAUAAGUACAUAUGCAGUUUGAUAUUACAGGUCGGCCAGUAUUAUCACUAUUUCGUUUGAAGACGUCCAGCUCCUUUGACUACGUUGCGAUGCAUUUGCAAUGAAUUGGACAACUCACACUGGAUCAACCAAUAAAAAGAUUCCCUGGUGAAUUGGCGACGUGCACAAUUGACAUUAGCCUAUUUGAAGAUGCGCUCAACUCCGUUAAUUGCUUCGUUUUGAGGGGAAGCCCCUUUUGGCAUUAACUAUAAUUUUUUUCCAGGAAAUCCCCUACAACCUCCCACAAGAAGAGGGUAUAAAUAUCGCGACGGACACAUAUCGCGUUAGAAACCCGCUGCAAUUCUGCUGCAAAUAGAACGACCUUAGUAGACUGUCGACUAUAAUUUACUAAAGUCUUUGUGUAACUUUGUGACUUUAUCCAGCAAGCAAGUUAUUUGCUUAUAAAAUGGACCCAAAUCAAGCCAACCGCACUAACCAGUGCAAUCCAACUCAUACUCCAACUGGGCCUGGACAUCAGGCAGGCUAUAAAGGGUCAGCAACAAAAGCUGAUCUUGAUAAUCAUAGCAACCAACUGAAUCCAAAUCAUCCACAAUAUAAAAAGUAAAAGCAUAUAUAUUUCACAGAAUAUCGAUGGCAUUGUAUUUUACAAGUAAUGUACAUGCUCAAAUUAUGAUAUAAAUGAAUAUGUAAUCAGAAA